rnacentral:rRNA from 1 species
UACGAAGGGGGGCUAGCGUUGCUCGGAAUCACUGGGCGUAAAGCGCACGUAGGCGGGUCGUUAAGUCAGGGGUGAAAUCCUGGAGCUCAACUCCAGAACUGCCCUUGAUACUGGCGAUCUUGAGUCCGGGAGAGGUGAGUGGAACUGCGAGUGUAGAGGUGAAAUUCGUAGAUAUUCGCAAGAACACCAGUGGCGAAGGCGGCUCACUGGCCCGGUACUGACGCUGAGGUGCGAAAGCGUGGGGAGCAAACAGG